rnacentral:rRNA from 1 species
AGUAACGCGUGAGCAACCUGCCUUUCAGAGGGGGAUAACGUUUGGAAACGAACGCUAAUACCGCAUAACGUAGGGAUAUCGCAUGGUAAUCCUACCAAAGAUUUUUAUCGCUGAGAGAUGGGCUCGCGUCCGAUAGGUAGUUGGUGAGGUAACGGCCCACCAAGCCGACGAUCGGUAGCCGGACUGAGAGGUUGAACGGCCACAUUGGGACUGAGACACGGCCCAGACUCCUACGGGAGGCAGCAGUGGGGAAUAUUGCACAAUGGGCGCAAGCCUGAAUGCAGCAACGCCGCGUGAGGGAAGACGGUUUUCGGAUUGUAAACCUCUGUCUUUGGUGACGAAGAAGUGACGGUAGCCAAGGAGGAAGCCACGGCUAACUACGUGCCAGCAGCCGC